GACAGAGGAUGCAAGCGUUAUCCGGAAUGAUUGGGCGUAAAGCGUCUGUAGGUGGCUUUUUAAGUCUGCCGUCAAAUCCCAGGGCUUAACCCUGGACAGGCGGUGGAAACUACCAAGCUGGAGUACGGUAGGGGCAGAGGGAAUUUCCGGUGGAGCGGUGAAAUGCGUAGAGAUCGGAAAGAACACCAACGGCGAAGGCACUCUGCUGGGCCGACACUGACACUGAGGGACGAAAGCUAGGGGAGCAAAUGGG
rnacentral:rRNA from 1 species